rnacentral:rRNA from 1 species
GAUGAACGCUGGCGGCGUGCCUAAUACAUGCAAGUCGAGCGAACAGACGAGGAGCUUGCUCCUCUGACGUUAGCGGCGGACGGGUGAGUAACACGUGGAUAACCUACCUAUAAGACUGGGAUAACUUCGGGAAACCGGAGCUAAUACCGGAUAAUAUAUUGAACCGCAUGGUUCAAUAGUGAAAGACGGUUUUGCUGUCACUUAUAGAUGGAUCCGCGCCGCAUUAGCUAGUUGGUAAGGUAACGGCUUACCAAGGCAACGAUGCGUAGCCGACCUGAGAGGGUGAGUGGCCAGACUGGAACGGAGACACGGUCCAGACUCCUACGGGAGGCAGCAGUAGGGAAUCUUCCGCAAAGGGCGAAAGCCUGACGGAGCAACGCCGCGUGAUGGAUGAAGGUCUUCGGAUCGUAAAACUCUGUUAUUAGGGAAGAACAAAUGUGUAAGUAACUAUGCACGUCUUGACGGUACCUAAUCAGAGAGCCACGGCUAACUACGUG